CCUACGGGAGGCUGCAGUGGGGGAUAUUGCACAAUGGGGGGAACCCUGAUGCAGCGACGCCGCGUGGGUGAAGAAGCGCCUCGGCGCGUAAAGCCCUGUCAGCAGGGAAGAAAAUGACUGUACCUGAAGAAGAAGCCCCGGCUAACUACGUGCCAGCAGCCGCGGUAAUACGUAGGGGGCAAGCGUUAUCCGGAUUUACUGGGUGGAAAGGGGGCGCAGACGGCGAUGCAAGCCAGGAGUGAAAGCCCGGGGCCCAACCCCGGGACUGCGCUUGGAACUGGGUGGCUGGAGUGCAGGAGGGGCAGGCGGAAUUCCUGGUGGAGCGGUGAAAUGCGUAGAGAUCAGGAGGAACACCGGUGGCGAAGGCGGCCUGCUGGACUGCAACUGACGUUGAGGCCCGAAAGCGUGGGGAGCAAACAGGAUUAGAUACCCGGGUAGUC
rnacentral:rRNA from 1 species